CUGAAGUGACUGUAAUACUGGCUGAACCAGUGUCUGGAGGUCUGGGGUUUCAUCAUGAGGCGCAGCUACCAGAGCGGAUUCCUCAAAGUGAAGAUGACAGAUGUGUGAUGGUUGGCUGUUUUGCUGUUGGAGGAGCAUCAGUUGAGGCAUAUAUUAGGAUGCUGGGCUGUACUCUAACCUUCUCAGAUGAACUGGGCAGUAGGAGACCGAAAGAUCAGCAUGAACAACAACAACAAAAAACUCAUUUAGAGACACCAGGCUCCAAGAUGUGCAUGAUGCCUAACAACAACAAGGGAAAGUUGAGAAAGAGGAGGCCUGCUGUGACGGUGCAAAAAUGGCUCCGUUGUGGUCCUGAAGGGCUUGUGGGCAUUGCCUUGUGGUGGAAAGCCCUGAGUUCAUCAGACUAUCCGUUUAAUGAGGAGUAAAGACAUCUUUUUUGAAUCAGAAAAGUAGCUUCAAUCCGUGAAAAGCUUCAAGUCCUAAACAGCAAACUGGUAAUGUUUCAGUCUGUAGUACUUUAGUGUUUCUGCCUUUGAUGGUGAGUUUUCAUUUGCAUUUACUUCCAUUUUGCAGAUGCAGUUUGCAUUUGUUAGGCCUAUAUGUGUCAGUUUUACAGGCUCUUCUCCUGGCAUUUGCUUUAUAAAUUCAGAAUGAACUGUUCCAUGUAAUUAAGUCACUUUGUCAUUCAUUUGACCAUAUUCUGUAUGUAAAUUGUAUUUUAAGCUCUGUCUCCCAGUUUCACAAGGCUAGUCCCAGACUAAAAUGCAUGUUUGAGCCGUCUUAACUGAAAAUAACUUGCUCUGACAGAUCUUAAUGUCAUUGGCAUUGCCUGUCUCAAGAUGCACACCAGUAAUGUUUAUUAAUUUAUUGCAUUUAUUGCAUAAAGCUGUUUAAGUAUCCUAAUUUAAGGCCUAGUUCUGGCUUAAGCUAAGCCCUGUCUGUGAAUCCGGGCCUGUUUUGAAGUCACCACCAAGUGUUUUUUUUUUUUAAAGAAUCACGUUUUACAUGAAUAUAAUGUUAAUUUCCUGUUCAAAAUAGUGUGUGGGGGAAAAAUAAAUAUUUUUGCAUGUAAACUGACUGAUGUUGUUUAUUUUGAGUGACUUUUUUUAUUUUAAAACCAUAUUAAUUGCAGUCCUCCAUGUUCUCUGAUUGAAAGGAGUACAAAGCAGGAUUGAUUUGAUAAUGUUUCUAUGUUGAUUCAAUGUUAAAUAAGUGAUUUAAUUUACGUUGAAGAAAUGUUGAUUUUAUGACCAUCUUGAUCUAUUUUUGAUUGAUUUUUCAUCGUUGAAACAACAUUAUUUCAGGGUGCAAACCUGAUGAAAAAUCAAUGAUGAACUUCAACAUAUUAACAUGUUGUUAGCAUGUUGUUAACAUGAUGCUAAAAUGAUUAGAGUUACUAGUGCUGAGUUUUCCCAGAGCAAGCACCACUCAUAUUUUCUUCAGAAAAUGCACAGUGCCCUCCAGUAAUAUUGGCACCCUUGGUAUAUUUGAGCAAAGGCAGCUGUGAAAAUAAAUCUGAAUUGUUUGUGUUGUUGAUUUUUCAUUCAAAAAAUUCACAAAAACAAUUGAAGUAAAACAACUGAAAGUGGGGAGAAACUCUCAUGAUGAAAUAAAUGUUUUUUUCUCCAAUGCAUGUUGGCCACAAUUAUUGGCACCCCUAGAAAUUCUUAUGAAUAUACUGUA